UACGGGGGGGGGCAAGCGUUGUUCGGAAUUACUGGGCGUAAAGGGCUCGUAGGUGGCCAACUAAGUCGGACGUGAAAUCCCUCGGCUUAACCGGGGAACUGCGUCCGAUACUGGUUGGCUUGAGUUUGGGAGAGGGAUGCGGAAUUCCAGGUGUAGCGGUGAAAUGCGUAGAUAUCUGGAGGAAUACCGGUGGCGAAGGCGGCAUCCUGGACCGGCAUUGACGCUGAUGAGCGAAAGCUAGGGGAGCAAACGGG
rnacentral:rRNA from 1 species